UACGUAGGUCCCGAGCGUUGUUCGGAUUUAUUGGGCGUAAAGCGAGCGCAGGUGGUUUAAUAAGUCUGAUGUAAAAGGCAGUGGCUCAACCAUUGUGUGCAUUGGAAACUGUUAGACUUGAGUGCAGUAGAGGAGAGUGGAAUUCCAUGUGUAGCGGUGAAAUGCGUAGAUAUAUGGAGGAACACCGGUGGCGAAAGCGGCUCUCUGGCCUGUAACUGACACUGAGGCUCGAAAGCUAGGGGAGCAAACAGG
rnacentral:rRNA from 1 species